rnacentral:rRNA from 1 species
GCUCAGGACGAACGCUGGCGGCGUGCCUAAUACAUGCAAGUCGUACGCUUCUUUUUCCACCGGAGCUUGCUCCACCGGAAAAAGAGGAGUGGCGAACGGGUGAGUAACACGUGGGUAACCUGCCCAUCAGAAGGGGAUAACACUUGGAAACAGGUGCUAAUACCGUAUAACAAUCGAAACCGCAUGGUUUUGAUUUGAAAGGCGCUUUCGGGUGUCGCUGAUGGAUGGACCCGCGGUGCAUUAGCUAGUUGGUGAGGUAACGGCUCACCAAGGCCACGAUGCAUAGCCGACCUGAGAGGGUGAUCGGCCACAUUGGGACUGAGACACGGCCCAAACUCCUACGGGAGGCAGCAGUAGGGAAUCUUCGGCAAUGGACGAAAGUCUGACCGAGCAACGCCGCGUGAGUGAAGAAGGUUUUCGGAUCGUAAAACUCUGUUGUUAGAGAAGAAUAAGGAUGAGAGUAACUGUUCAUCCCUUGACGGUAUCUAACCAGAAAGCCACGGCUAACU